rnacentral:rRNA from 1 species
UACGUAGGGUGCGAGCGUUAAUCGGAAUUACUGGGCGUAAAGAGUGUGUAGGCGGUGCUCUAAGUUCGGUGUGAAAUCUCCUGGCUCAGCUGGGAGGGUGCGCCGGAAACUGGAGUGCUUGAGCGUGGGAGAGGAAAGCGGAAUUCCUGGUGUAGCGGUGAAAUGCGUAGAUAUCAGGAGGAACACCUGUGGUGUAGACGGCUUUCUGGACCAUAGCUGACGCUGAGACACGAAAGCGUGGGUAGCAAACAGG